AGUGAACGCUGGCGGUAGGCCUAACACAUGCAAGUCGAACGGCAGCACAGUAAGAGCUUGCUCUUACGGGUUGCGAGUGGCGGACGUGUGAGGAAUACAUCGUAAUCUACUUUUUCGUGGGGGAUAACGUAGGUAAACUUACGCUAAUACCGCAUACGCCCUACGGUUGAAAGCAGUGGAUCUUCGGACCUUGCGCGGUUGGAUGCGCCGAUGUCGGAUUAGCUAGUUGGCGGGGUAAAGGCCCACCAAGGCGACGAUCCGUAGCUGGUCUGAGAGGAUGAUCAGCGACACUGGAAGUGAGACACGGUCAAGACGCCUACGGGAGGCAGCAGUGGGGAAUAUUGGACAAUGGGCGCAAGCAUGAUCCAGCCAGACCGCGUGGGUGAAGAAGGCCUUCGGGUUGUAAAGACCUUUUGUUGGGAAAGAAAAGCAGCAGGUUAAUACCACGCUGUUCUGACGGUAACCAAAGAAGAAGCACCGGCUAACUUCGUG
rnacentral:rRNA from 1 species